UACGUAGGGGGCAAGCGUUGUCCGGAUUUAUUGGGCGUAAAGAGCGUGUAGGCGGUUUGGUAGGUCCGCUGUGAAAACUCGAGGCUCAACCUCGCGCCUGCAGUGGGUACGGGCAGACUAGAGUGCGGUAGGGGAGAUUGGAAUUCCUGGUGUAGCGGUGGAAUGCGCAGAUAUCAGGAGGAACACCGGUGGCGAAGGCGGUUCUCUGGGCAUUACCUGACGCUGAGGAGCGAAAGUGUGGGGAGCGAACAGG
rnacentral:rRNA from 1 species